UUUGCAAUGUGACGAUUCAGAUAACACGUUUCAACCUCACCCAAACCCCUCUCUUCUCAAAACGGCGACGACGCUCUCCCCAUUCUCCGACCAAACAAACACAGCGCCGCCGUGAAUCGAACCGCGAAACUCCCUCGCCUCAACUCUCAACCUUAUCCUCUAUCAGUCCUCUCCGAUGUCUCUCCCGUUUUCAAUUCGUUUUCCCUAAAUCUAACCCUAACAGAAAAACCUAGAAAUCACGAAACGAAGCUGAAAGCUCGUUGUAUCUGGAUCAAGGUAACCAACGGAAUAUUCACAUUCUAUGUCCCUCAAGAAUCAACAUGAUAAUAAGAACAAGUAGAGAAAUUGAUGAAUCGGAAGCAUCUUUGGAACUUACUGGUGGUGGAGACUCUUCAAUAUGCUCAAAGGGAGAAGAAAAUAUCGGAGGCACCGACUCAAUUCAAGGGAACAUUGAAGAAGAUGCUGAGAUGAAUUGAAAAUGAUGAGGUUAUGAAGGUCGAAGCUAUGGAAGAUUCGUGAAGUUGCAGGAGUUGGUGAAUGAUGAAUAGAGAGAGAGAGCUGAAUUAGUGAUGAAGGCUCUGUUAUAUAGAGGAAUGAUUUCGAUCCUCGGUACACAUUCGGAAUUACUUGGCCCAUGUAGAGGACUUGGAGACGACUUUGAAGAGAGGACUUGGUCUGGAAUAUAAUAUAGAUAUAGGCCUGUUUUUCUUAUGAAUUUCUAUGCAUGUAAUGAAGACCUUUGUAGUGGAAUUUGAAUACUGUAAUGAGAUUUUUCUUUGUGAUAAA